GCGCUUCUGGCUGUGGUGAGAGGAGGCUGUUGCUCCAGUCCGAUCCCGAACUUGCAUCUUUUGUUGAGCAUUCGUCGCCGCAGUCCGUGGCCGAGGGAAAUUCUCGUCUUUCUCUACACGUCGUUGCAGAUAACUCAAUAAAACAGUCCCCCCCCAUCCCUGAAGCGCCAAGUGUGUAUAGAAAACGGAAUCCUGUAAAGAGAAAUCAUCUUCAACAAAACCAUAUUCAGUCUGAGUGCACUUCGUCAAAUAUUCUUCGAGACAGAGGAAGACAAGAUUCCUCGGUCAACUUCACACCGGAGAUAAAACCGUGAGAUAAAAAGAGAGAAGAGAAGAGAAGAGAAAGAGAGAGAGAGAAAGAAAA